rnacentral:ncRNA from 1 species
GGGGAUGAAACCCUUGCAGACGACUGGGAUGUCGGACCGGGUCGUGUAAGCAGUCGAGUAGCCUUGUUGUUACGAGCUGCUGAGCGUAAGCCCGCGUCCGCAGUUUUGU